GAUGAAGAACGCAGCGAAAUGCGAUACUUGGUGUGAAUUGCAGAAUCCCGUGAACCAUCGAGUCUUUGAACGCAAGUUGCGCCCGAAACCAUUAGGCCGAGGGCACGCCUGCCUGGGCGUCACACGUCGUUGCCCCCCCAUCUACUCCUUCGGGAUUGCGGGGGGCGGAUGAUGGCCUCCCGUGCGCCUCGUCGCGCGGUUGGCAUAAAUGCCAAGUCCUCGGCGACGCACGCCACGACAAUCGGUGGUUGCGAAACCUCGGUUGCCCGUCGUGUGCGGUCGUCGCGCAUCGAGGGCUCGAAAAAAUUGUCGGGCUCCGGCUCGGCUUUCAACGCGACCCCAGGUCAGGCGGGGUUACCCGCUGAAUUUAAGCAUAUCAAUAAGCGGAGGA
rnacentral:misc_RNA from 1 species